CAGUACAUUAACAACAUCAUUCAGCAAGGCAGUGAUGACACUAAACUAAAAACUAAAAACAGCAAAAUCAGUACAUUAUACUACAUAUUAAAAGUUCAAAACAGAGCAUUCAGUAACCAAGCAUUAGCAUUAACAAGGCAGUGAUGACACUAAAUUAACCAGACCAUUAGCAAGGAAGUGAUGACACUAAAUUAAACAUUAAAAACAACAAAAUCAG